rnacentral:rRNA from 1 species
AGUGAACGCUGGCGGUAGGCCUAACACAUGCAAGUCGAACGGCAGCACAGUAAGAGCUUGCUCUUACGGGUGGCGAGUGGCGGACGGGGGAGGAAUACAUCGGAAUCUACUUUUUCGUGGGGGAUAACGUAGGGAAACUUACGCUAAUACCGCAUACGACCUACGGGUGAAAGUAGGGGAUCUUCGGACCUUGCGCGAUUGAAUGAGCCGAUGUCGGAUUAGCUAGUUGGCGGGGUAAAGGCCCACCAAGGCGACGAUCCGUAGCUGGUCUGAGAGGAUGAUCAGCCACACUGGAACUGAGACACGGUCCAGACUCCUACGGGAGGCAGCAGUGGGGAAUAUUGGACAAUGGGCGCAAGCCUGAUCCAGCCAUACCGCGUGGGUGAAGAAGGCCUUCGGGUUGUAAAGCCCUUUUGUUGGGAAAGAAAAGCAGCAGGUUAAUACCCCGCUGUUCUGACGGUACCCAAAGAAUAAGCACCGGCUAACUUCGUG